UUCGCCCUUAGAGUUUGAUCCUGGCUCAGGACGAACGCUGGCGGCGUGCCUAACACAUGCAAGUCGAACGGGCGGAGGAGCUUCGGCUCCCGAGCUAGUGGCGGACGGGUGAGUAACGCGUGAGGAACCUGCCUUUCAGAGGGGGACAACAGUUGGAAACGACUGCUAAUACCGCAUAACAUGUGCGGAUCGCAUGAUCUGCACAUCAAAGAUUUAUCGCUGAAAGAUGGCCUCGCGUCUGAUUAGAUAGUUGGUGGGGUAACGGCCCACCAAGUCGACGAUCAGUAGCCGGACUGAGAGGUUGAACGGCCACAUUGGGACUGAGAUACGGCCCAGACUCCUACGGGAGGCAGCAGUGGGGAAUAUUGGGCAAUGGGGGCAACCCUGACCCAGCAACGCCGCGUGAAGGAAGAAGGCUUUCGGGUUGUAAACUUCUUUUACCAGGGACGAAGGACGUGACGGUACCUGGAGAAAAAGCCACGGCUAACUACGUGCCAGCAGCCGCGGUAAUACGUAGGUGGCGAGCGUUGUCCGGAAUUACUGGGUGUAAAGGGAGUGUAGGCGGGAAGGCAAGUCAGAAGUGAAAAUUAUGGGCUUAACCCAUAACCUGCUUUUGAAACUGUUUUUCUUGAGUGAGGCAGAGGCAAGCGGAAUUCCUAGUGUAGCGGUGAAAUGCGUAGAUAUUAGGAGGAACACCAGUGGCGAAGGCGGCUUGCUGGGCCUUUACUGACGCUGAGGCUCGAAAGCGUGGGGAGCAAACAGGAUUAGAUACCCUUGGUAGUCCACGCCGUAAACGAUGAUCCCUAGGUGUGGGGGAGUUGAACCCUUCCCGUGCCCGAAUUAACACCAUAAAGUGAUCCCCCCUGGGGAAUACCACCCCCAAGGUUGAAACUCCAAAGGAAUUUGACGGGGGGCCCCCCCCACGCAGUGGAGUAUGUGGUUUAAUUGGAAGCAACGCGAAGACCCUUACCAGGUCUUGACAUCGAGUGACGAUCCCAGAGAUGGGAUUUCCCUUCGGGGCACAAAGACAGGUGGUGCAUGGUUGUCGUCAGCUCGUGUCGUGAGAUGUUGGGUUAAGUCCCGCAACGAGCGCAACCCUUACUAUUAGUUGCUACGCAAGAGCACUCUAAUAGGACUGCCGUUGAUAAAACGGAGGAAGGUGGGGAUGACGUCAAAUCAUCAUGCCCUUUAUGACCUGGGCUACACACGUACUACAAUGGCGUUUAACAAAGAGAAGCGAAACCGCGAGGUUGAGCAAAUCCCCAAAAAACGUCUCAGUUCAGAUUGCAGGCUGCAACUCGCCUGCAUGAAGUCGGAAUUGCUAGUAAUCGUAGGUCAGCAUACUACGGUGAAUACGUUCCCGGGCCUUGUACACACCGCCCGUCA
rnacentral:rRNA from 1 species